AAACCUGACCCCAGAGUAUGCCAGAUCCGCCACAAAUACAGGGAAUCCACUGUUCACACGGACAGAGUCUCCUCUGUAUUUGCACGGCGUCGCACAAGUACAAGAAGUCAUCUAGGCACAACCACAAUAAACGAACAUACAAAUAACCAACCGUUAUAUAUAUUCAUACACCAUUCACUACAGAUUCACAUUUAUGCAUAAAUCCACACCUAUCAGUUAAAAUGUUUCCAACCACAGAAACGGGUUUUGAAAUACUAAGAUGCAAAAUCCACAGAAACCUUUUGAAAACUGUUUCCUACACGGAAACCUUUAUUCUUUAAAAACGCUACCGCGAGGGGUAGAAAACCUUUUAUUUCAAGAAAACACAAAUCCUUUAUUACAUUCCAAAAUCAACUGAAAACUCAGAUAUUCAAAUAAUAACACAAAACUGAACCAUGUAAACCGACUAAACUAUAAAUCAACAGAAAUAAUAAGGGUAAUAACUAAAUCGAAAUAACCUGGGUCGGAAGCUCUAUCGACCGCUACACACGUACCUCACAUCUCGUCCCACUAUUCAUCGCCCGCGAUACCUGAAAAAUGGUGGGGGAGGUGAGAACAUGUAAACAUGUCUCCCCUCCCAGUAGGUACCGCAAGCCGAUGAAGGCGAGGAGUACUCACCGGAUCAGGAAGAGCUAAAUAACAACAAGGGUCAGUGGAAAUAUAGUAGCAACAAUAAUAAGGUAAAGAGCAAGUAUACCGAAUACAGUAGCAACAAUAAUAAGGUAAAGAGCAGAUAUACCGAAUACAGUAGCAAUAAACUGAAAGAAAGUAAGAACUAGACUGAAUAACGGCUACCACUACUGUAAUUGGAACCGAAAGCAUAUAUGAAUAUCUACUAUAGUAGCAAGACAACUAUAAAGUAAGAACUGUAAAUAUGCAUGCAACGACUGCUACUAUAGACAUAUGCGUCAACCGGUCAAGAAGUCCAAAAGUACUCAAU
rnacentral:lncRNA from 1 species